rnacentral:rRNA from 1 species
AUUGAACGCUGGCGGCAUGCCUUACACAUGCAAGUCGAACGGCAGCGGACCUUCGGGUGCCGGCGAGUGGCGAACGGGUGAGUAAUAUAUCGGAACGUACCUUUCAGUGGGGGAUAACGUAGCGAAAGUUACGCUAAUACCGCAUAUUCUGUGAGCAGGAAAGCAGGGGAUCGCAAGACCUUGCGCUGAUUGAGCGGCCGAUAUCAGAUUAGCUAGUUGGUGAGGUAAAGGCUCACCAAGGCGACGAUCUGUAGCGGGUCUGAGAGGAUGAUCCGCCACACUGGAACUGAGACACGGUCCAGACUCCUACGGGAGGCAGCAGUGGGGAAUUUUGGACAAUGGGGGCAACCCUGAUCCAGCCAUGCCGCGUGCGGGAAGAAGGCCUUCGGGUUGUAAACCGACUUCUAGCCGGAAGAAAUCGACUUGGUUAAUACCUGAAGUGGAUGACGGUACCGGAACGAAGAAGCACCGGCUAACUACGU